CGGCAAAUGAUCUAAUCCCAGUUGGAUAGGAAGGAAAGAAACUAAAAUAUUUGAGUGACACUGAUUAAAAGCUAAUAAUUGUAGCUAAAAUUUAGAGAAAUGUAGGAAAUAAUUGCGGAAAAUUAUGGGCAUAACUGUGCGGGGAAAAGGCCCUCAUUGAAAGUUGGCCCCAGUAGUUGCAAUUUCUUAAAGGUGAUCUACAGUCCGUAUGUAAACAAAGCCUUUGUUUACAUUUUCGUGUCCAAAAUAUUGAGCUUUAUUCGACAACUAUUUAUAUUUUCAAGCUUCUAGAGUAUAAU